rnacentral:rRNA from 1 species
GACGAACGCUGGCGGCGUGCUUACACAUGCAAGUCGAACGGAAAGGCCCUGCUUUUGUGGGGUGCUCGAGUGGCGAACGGGUGAGUAACACGUGAGUAACCUGCCCUUGACUUUGGGAUAACUUCAGGAAACUGGGGCUAAUACCGGAUAGGAGCUCCUGCUGCAUGGUGGGGGUUGGAAAGUUUCGGCGGUUGGGGAUGGACUCGCGGCUUAUCAGCUUGUUGGUGGGGUAGUGGCUUACCAAGGCUUUGACGGGUAGCCGGCCUGAGAGGGUGACCGGCCACAUUGGGACUGAGAUACGGCCCAGACUCCUACGGGAGGCAGCAGUGGGGAAUAUUGCACAAUGGGCGGAAGCCUGAUGCAGCAACGCCGCGUGCGGGAUGACGGCCUUCGGGUUGUAAACCGCUUUCGCCUGUGACGAAGCGUGAGUGACGGUAAUGGGUAAAGAAGCACCGGCUAACUACGUGCCAGCAGCCGCGGUGAUACGUAGGGUGCGAGCGUUGUCCGGAUUUAUUGGGCGUAAAGGGCUCGUAGGUGGUUGAUCGCGUCGGAAGUGUAAUCUUGGGGCUUAACCCUGAGCGUGCUUUCGAUACGGGUUGACUUGAGGAAGGUAGGGGAGAAUGGAAUUCCUGGUGGAGCGGUGGAAUGCGCAGAUAUCAGGAGGAACACCAGUGGCGAAGGCGGUUCUCUGGGCCUUUCCUGACGCUGAGGAGCGAAAGCGUGGGGAGCGAACAGGCUUAGAUACCCUGGUAGUCCACGCUGUAAACGGUGGGUACUAGGUGUGGGGUCCAUUCCACGGGUUCCGUGCCGUAGCUAACGCUUUAAGUACCCCGCCUGGGGAGUACGGCCGCAAGGCUAAAACUCAAAGGAAUUGACGGGGCCCCGCACAAGCGGCGGAGCAUGCGGAUUAAUUCGAUGCAACGCGUAGAACCUUACCUGGGUUUGACAUGGAUCGGGAGUGCUCAGAGAUGGGUGUGCCUCUUUUGGGGUCGGUUCACAGGUGGUGCAUGGCUGUCGUCAGCUCGUGUCGUGAGAUGUUGGGUUAAGUCCCGCAACGAGCGCAACCCUUGUUCACUGUUGCCAGCACGUUAUGGUGGGGACUCAGUGGAGACCGCCGGGGUCAACUCGGAGGAAGGUGGGGAUGACGUCAAGUCAUCAUGCCCCUUAUGUCCAGGGCUUCACGCAUGCUACAAUGGCUGGUACAGAGAGUGGCGAGCCUGUGAGGGUGAGCGAAUCUCGGAAAGCCGGUCUCAGUUCGGAUUGGGGUCUGCAACUCGACCUCAUGAAGUCGGAGUCGCUAGUAAUCGCAGAUCAGCAACGCUGCGGUGAAUACGUUCCCGGGGCU